rnacentral:lncRNA from 1 species
ACAAAAUCAGCAGAAAGAAUGAGGCGGUCUAUUUCAAAUGGUGGUAAGAUUUUUCAGGUCAUUGAAGGCAGGUCAAUUCCAGAUUGGAAGAAAUUUCUAUGUGCAUCGGAAAAUAAACAAGCAUUAUUAAGAUUUUUGGGUGACUAUGCGCUCGCACACUUCAAUGAAUUCGAUUUGAAUGAGCAAGACGAACUAUUCUUAGCUGGAUGUUUUCAAAACCCAGAGACUGUUAAACAAAUUUGUGCCGGAACUGUUACUGAUUGUAUUCAGUUGUUCAGUACACAGGAAGAGGCAGAUACAAGAAUCAUUCUACAGUCUCUGUUUGCUAAUGAACAGCUAAUAAAAAGCAAUUCCAG